rnacentral:tRNA from 1 species
GAUGCUCUGGCCGAACUGCUUGCGGUCGUGGAUGUAGGGCACGAUCAGGUCCAUGCAGGCCUGCAUGAUUCCGGUGGGGCCGCCGGAGAGCACCAC